rnacentral:rRNA from 1 species
GUCGAACGCUCUUUUCUUAUCGAACUUCGGUUCACCGAGAAAAGGGAGUGGCGAACGGGUGAGUAACACGUGGGUAACCUACCCAUCAGCGGGGGAUAACACUUGGAAACAGGUGCUAAUACCGCAUAAUUCUUUUCUUCGCCUGAAGGGAAGAUGAAAGACGCUUUUGCGUCACUGAUGGAUGGACCCGCGCUGCAUUAGCUAGUUGGUGGGGUAACGGCUCACCAAGGCCACGAUGCAUAGCCGACCUGAGAGGGUGAUCGGCCACACUGGGACUGAGACACGGCCCAGACUCCUACGGGAGGCAGCAGUAGGGAAUCUUCGGCAAUGGACGGAAGUCUGACCGAGCAACGCCGCAUGAGUGAAGAAGGUUUUCGGAUCGUAAAACUCUGUUGUUAGAGAAGAACAAGGAUGAGAGUAGAAUGUUCAUCCCUUGACGGUAUCUAACCAGAAAGCCACGGCUAACUACGUGCCAGCAGCCGCGGUAAUACGUAGGUGGCAAGCGUUGUCCGGAUUUAUUGGGCGUAAAGCGAGCGCAGGCGGUUUCUUAAGUCUGAUGUGAAAGCCCCCGGCUUAACCGGGGAGGGUCAUUGGAAACGGGGAGACUUGAGUGCAGAAGAGGAGAGUGGAAUUCCAUGUGUAGCGGUGAAAUGCGUAGAUAUAUGGAGGAACACCAGUGGCGAA